UCUCGACAAGCACUCAGCAAAAGUUUUUGCAAGUUUAUUAGAGGAAGAAGGAUACAAUCAUUAUGAAGCUCGUGUUAUGUUAGCCGGAGAGCAAGGAACUGGUAAAACUACUAUUGCAAGAUAUCUUGUUGGUAAAGGACCGACUAAAAUCAAAAUAUCGACUGAUGGAAUUGACUUAUAUAAUGCUUUGUCCUUUAUCGACCGUGAGACUAAAGAAUGGAUGCACGGUAAACAAGGUUUUACAUUAUCAGAAGUAGUAAUCAGUAGAUCUUUACGACAACGUAAAGGAGAAGUCAUCACUAGUUCUUUGUCACAAAUUGCAGACACGUCGACUAGCAUCAAAUUGGACGGUAAGGUGACAGAUCGAGAUGAAAAAAGUACUGAUAGGCUAGCUCGUCAAGACUUAACAUCUGAAAAUCUGUUAUCUUCAACUGCAGAUUCAGCCCAUUGCAUAACAUUUAUGUCAUUGUAGGAAACAACCCUCGCAAAUGAUCUGGAUAUAAUUGAUAGAAAAGAUGUGGAACAUGCAUUGCUGGUUCACAGUUAAAUCAUUGU